UGCAGUCGAACGAUGAUGCCCAGCUUGCUGGGUGGAUUAGUGGCGAACGGGUGAGUAACACGUGAGUAACCUGCCCUUGACUUCGGGAUAACUCCGGGAAACCGGGGCUAAUACCGGAUAUGAGCCGUCCUCGCAUGGGGGUGGUUGGAAAGUUUUUCGGUCAGGGAUGGGCUCGCGGCCUAUCAGCUUGUUGGUGGGGUGAUGGCCUACCAAGGCGACGACGGGUAGCCGGCCUGAGAGGGCGACCGGCCACACUGGGACUGAGACACGGCCCAGACUCCUACGGGAGGCAGCAGUGGGGAAUAUUGCACAAUGGGCGAAAGCCUGAUGCAGCGACGCCGCGUGAGGGAUGAAGGCCUUCGGGUUGUAAACCUCUUUCAGCAGGGAAGAAGCGCAAGUGACGGUACCUGCAGAAGAAGCGCCGGCUAACUACGUGCCAGCAGCCGCGGUAAUACGUAGGGCGCAAGCGUUGUCCGGAAUUAUUGGGCGUAAAGAGCUCGUAGGCGGUUUGUCGCGUCUGGUGUGAAAACUCGAGGCUCAACCUCGAGCUUGCAUCGGGUACGGGCAGACUAGAGUGCGGUAGGGGAGACUGGAAUUCCUGGUGUAGCGGUGGAAUGCGCAGAUAUCAGGAGGAACACCGAUGGCGAAGGCAGGUCUCUGGGCCGCAACUGACGCUGAGGAGCGAAAGCAUGGGGAGCGAACAGGAUUAGAUACCCUGGUAGUCCAUGCCGU
rnacentral:rRNA from 1 species